rnacentral:tRNA from 3 species
GGCUGCGUAGUUCAACUGGAUAGAAUAUCAGAUUUCGGCUCUGACGGUUGGGGGUUCGAAUCCCUUCGCAGUCACAA